ensembl:lincRNA
UUCAUGUAGAUGCUGUCACAGAGAAAAACAGUCCUUGAAAAGUUAUUUUUUUCUCUCUCAACAUGACUGAAGAUUUUGCAGAGAUGUGGAGGUGAGAAAAAUCUGGCUUUUAAUCCCUUGAAAUGUGAAAAGUAGUUUUAAUAGUGUCAUUUGGCAUUUUUGCUAUCUUACUCAGAUCUGUUUUUUUUUUUUUCUUCUUCUUUUUCUCUGUGCCUGACUGAAAGUAUGAUAAGAUCCGUGGUCCCCAUGGUGAGCCUGACUUCAGAGCUCAGUGAUCUGAGAGAUGGAGAUCUUUCAGAAAAAGAACUCAUUAGCGUGACUCGAGAGUCUCGGAAGGUAAUCAUUUCAAGAUGAAGUGUCGAGAGCAACACCGGGCUUUUGUCUUGACGGAAGGAAUCUCUUCCCUGGGCAGCCUGACAAUUUCCAAAGCUGCUUCCCCGCUGGACACGGUAACCGGGAGCUAUUUUAGGGAGCCCUGAGCAUCUUGCAGUGAGGGUUUUGACAAAUCAGACACAAACAGGCUACACGUGUGCGUCCUCAUAUUCGUUUCUCAUUGGGUAGUGCCAUGGUUUGGAUAUUUGUCCCCUCCGAAAGUGACAUUGAAAUUUAAUCCCCAUUGUGGCAAUAUUGAGAGGUGAGGUCUUAAGAGGACUCUGCCCUGGUGAAUACAUUCGUCCAUUCAUGGAUUGGUGGAUUAGUGGGGUAUCACAGGAGUGGGACAGGUGGCUUUUAAGGAAGAGGAGGAGAGAACUGAGACAGCACUCUCAGCCCCCUCACCACGUGAUGCCCUGCACCACCUCUGGACUCUUCAGAGAAUCCCCACCAGCAAGAAGGCUCUCACCAGAUGCCACCCUUACAUGUUGGACUCCUUGGCCUCUGUGACUGUAAAAACUACAUUUUCUUUCUUAUAAAUGACCCAGUUGCAAGCAUUCUGUUAUAAGCAACAGAAAAUUGAUGAAGACAGGUAGAUUAAGAGAUUGCAUCCAGAAUUUUCAGGAAGCAGGAAAAAUGCACUCACUCUUAGCUGUGGUCACUGCAUGGGGCAGCCAGGCCAAGUCAGCCUGUUGCUUAGAAAAGCAAGUCAGAGUUGGUAUGAAUCCUCCUCCUCCUAGCUACGACUACCACGAUGUACAGAGCCGGAGGGAGUGCCAUUACCACCCUUGUGAUGAGAAAGAGCUGGACUGAUUUCAAACCCAUGGCUGGUUUUGAAAUCCUUGGAGAGCUGAGGGUGCAGAGGUAAGAACCUGUGGAAACCCUAAGGAGACACAGCGCCUGCGGGAGAGAGGAGGGGAACAGGGUGGGACAGAAGGGCUUGGCUGGAAGGGC